UUGACAUACUAAGAACUUUCCAGAGAUGGAUUGGUGCCUUCGGGAACUUAGAUACAGGUGCUGCAUGGCUGUCGUCAGCUCGUGUCGUGAGAUGUUGGGUUAACGUCCGCAACGAGCGCAACCCUUUUCCUUAUUUGCCAGCGGGUAAUGCCGGGAACUUUAAGGAUACUGCCAGUGACAAACUGGAGGAAGGCGGGGACGACGUCAAGUCAUCAUGGCCCUUACGGCCAGGGCUACACACGUGCUACAAUGGUCGGUACAAAGGGUUGCUACCUCGCGAGAGGAUGCUAAUCUCAAAAAGCCGAUCGUAGUCCGGAUCGCAGUCUGCAACUCGACUGCGUGAAGUCGGAAUCGCUAGUAAUCGCGGAUCAGAAUGCCGCGGUGAAUACGUUCCCGGGCCUUGUACACACCGCCCGUCACACCAUGGGAGUUUGUUGCACCAGAAGUAGGUAGUCUAACCGCAAGGAGGACGCUUACCACGGUGUGGCCGAUGACUGGGGGUGAAGUCGUAACAAGGUAGGCGUAGAUGA
rnacentral:rRNA from 1 species